rnacentral:rRNA from 1 species
ACUCCUACGGGAGGCAGCAGUGGGGAAUAUUGGACAAUGGACCAAAUGUCUGAUCCAGCAAUUCUGUGUGUUUGAUGAAGGCCUUCGGUUGUAAAGAACUUUCAGUGGGGAAGGAAGCAAGUGACGGUACCCACAGAAGAAGCGACGGCUAAAUACGUGCCAGCAGCCGCGGUAAUACGUAUGUCGCAAGCGUUAUCCGGAAUUAUUGGGCAUAAAGGGGCGUCUAGGCGGUCUAAUAAGUCUGAUGUGAAAAUGCGGGGGCUCAACUCCGUAUUGCGUUGGAAACUGUUAGACUAGAGUUUUGGAGAGGUAGGCGGAACUACAAGUGUAGAGGUGAAAUUCGUAGAGAUUUGUAGGAAUGCCGAUGACGAAGGUAGCUUACUGGACAAAUACUGACGCUGAAGCGCGAAAGCUAGGGGAGCAAACAGGAUUAGAUACCCUGGUAGCGACUGA